rnacentral:rRNA from 1 species
GACGAACCGUGCAAACGUUAUUCGGAAUCACUGGGCAUAAAGGGCGCGUAGGCGGCUCCACAAGUCAGGGGUGAAAUCCGGCAGCUUAACUGUCGCAGUGCCUUUGAUACUGUGGAGCUAGAGGGAGGUAGGGGUCUGUGGAACUUCCGGUGGAGCGGUGAAAUGCGUAGAGAUCGGGAGGAACACCAGAGGCGAAGGCGGCGACCUGGACAGGUACUGACACUCAACUACGAAAGCGUGGGGAGCAAACAGG